GCAGUCGGGCAUUUCGUCGCUCGCCGCCUUUUCGCGGCGUGAGGAAAGUCCGGGCAACACAGAGCACCAUACUUCUUAACGGGAAGCUGUUGGCAACAGCAGAGUAGCGUGACAGAAAACAACCGCCCGCACUCGUGUGGGUAAGGGUGAAAAGGUGAGGUAAGAGCUCACCGGGCGACAUAGUGAUAUGCCGCGCCGCACGCCUUAUGGGUUGCAAGGUCAAGUAUACCGGCAUUUAAGGGUUGCUCGCCCAUUGUCGGGGGGUAGGCUGCAUAAGCCG
rnacentral:RNase_P_RNA from 1 species